UACGUAGGGGCUAGCGUUGUCCGGAUUUAUUGGGCGUAAAGAGCGCGUAGGCGGCCGAGUAAGUCCGACGUGAAAUCUGGAGGCUCAACCUCCAGCGGUCGUUGGAAACUACUCGGCUAGAGUCCGGAAGAGGAGAGUGGAAUUCCGUGGAUGUAGCGGUGAAAUGCGCAGAUAUCAGGAAGAACACCGAUGGCGAAAGCAGCUCUCUGGGACGGUACUGACGCUGAGGCGCGAAAGCGUGGGGAGCGAACAGG
rnacentral:rRNA from 1 species